rnacentral:rRNA from 1 species
GGAAGCUUGCUNNNUGAUGUUAGCGGCGGACGGGUGAGUAACACGUGGGUAACCUGCCUGUAAGACUGGGAUAACUCCGGGAAACCGGGGCUAAUACCGGAUGCUUGAUUGAACCGCAUGGUUCAAUUAUAAAAGGUGGCUUUUAGCUACCACUUACAGAUGGACCCGCGGCGCAUUAGCUAGUUGGUGAGGUAACGGCUCACCAAGGCAACGAUGCGUAGCCGACCUGAGAGGGUGAUCGGCCACACUGGGACUGAGACACGGCCCAGACUCCUACGGGAG